rnacentral:rRNA from 1 species
AGCAGUCGCCGCGGUAACACAGAGGGUGCGAGCGUUAAUCGGAUUUACUGGGCGUAAAGCGUGCGUAGGCGGCUUUUUAAGUCGGAUGUGAAAUCCCUGAGCUUAACUUAGGAAUUGCAUUCGAUACUGGGAAGCUAGAGUAUGGGAGAGGAUGGUAGAAUUCCAGGUGUAGCGGUGAAAUGCGUAGAGAUCUGGAGGAAUACCGAUGGCGAAGGCAGCCAUCUGGCCUAAUACUGACGCUGAGGUACGAAAGCAUGGGGAGCAAACAGGAUUAGAUACCACGGUAGUCCCUGUCUCUUAUAC